CGUUCAUAAUGCAGUAUCUUACCAUUAGGACCUUCAAAGGAGCACCUUGGUGACAUAACAGAGUGUACAGAUUUAAUUGUUCCAACAAAAACGUUUGCAGAAUUGCUAGACAGUGUUGGAAAAUGUGUGUCCCGGUUUGAUGUGGCAAACGAGGCACUUGUUAGGAUUGUGGGUAGGCCUCUUUGUGAUAAUACCGUUUUCAACCAUGUCAGUUAUGACAGUUUACGAUCAAGACAGACUGAUCUUAAACUGGAUCUUCAAAUUGGCAUAAUCCAAGCUAUUAAACCAGAUUUUUCAGAAAGAAGGAAACUAUUUAAUCACCUUAACCCCGCUAUUAUUGGUGAUACAACAAACCACUUUGUAUCAUUAUAAAGGAAGUGCUUAAAACUCAAUAUAGUACUUACUAUGUGCCAAACAUAUACAUAAAUGUUUUACAUAUAUUACUUUAUUAGUCUUCAUCAACAUUUAGAAUAGUUACUGUAGUUACCCCAAUUGUAGAGUUGGAAAUGAGGCACAUAUUUUUUUUAAAUAGAAUCUUAAUGUAUUGCUCCUCAGCGGGAGCUUCUCAAAACAGCCCAGGAAUAAUUGUAAGGACUUCUUAAACAAUCACUGAAGUGCUGUAUUAGGUCAGUGUGUUUAAAGCUUGCCUUAGCUUGUCUUAGAGUAUUAUCUGAUGAAGUUAAUGAAAUGUGAAUGACCAUGUUUCUAGAAAAGGCCUUGGGAAUGAAUGCGAAGUGCGAUGUUGGGAAGUAAGUCCUCUGCUGAUCACAGGAUGAGAAAAUUAAGUCAGUAUAUUAAAUUUAAAAAAAAUUGGAAUUUAAAGUUCUGUGCAUAGCAGCAUUCUAACGUUUAUCUCUACAAGGCACUCUGCUCACAUCAUGGUUGAAAUAUUAUCAGGCUCACUGUUACUAUGUGGAGCUUGGUCUUCCUCGUGAAAGUUUCUAAUCCGUUAAAAUCAGCUCAUGCAAGGGAUCACUUCAGAAAGUAUCAGUGUUUAUCCUGAAGAAGAGGAAACUAAAGACCUGAGAGUCAUCCUCAAAUAUCUGAAAGACUGUCCUUUGGAAGCAUGGAAGGACUUUCCCUGUGUUGCCAUCCGGGAAGAUCUUACAGUGCAGUUGCAGUUGUGGCUGCACUACAGGCGUGAAGUGGAGAGUGCUCUCAUGAAGGAAUGACGGGAGUGUGUUGUAAGGGAGAGAGGAAGUAAUCAAGUAGAAGCACGAAAGAAGCAGUGCAGAAAUUAGAGGGCCAUGGAAGAGAACAUUUGAGAAACAGAAGAUGGGAGAGGCCACGGGAAUUUAGGAUUGGAGCUUGGCCUGGGGAUCCCAGCAGGCAGCUGGGUAUGUGGGUCUGGUUGUGUGUGGUGGAGCACUCAUUGGUAGAGAUAGAAGUUUAGAAACCACUGAUUGGGCAGGAAAUCAUGGGUUAUGAACUAGACUCCUUUCAUUACCAGAAAAGGGAAAUAAGGAAGAGGGAGAGGUGAACCUCCUCCAUUGGCUGGUGAGCAGGUUGAUAAUGUGACUCAACCAUGGCUUUGAUAGGCUUGAUUUACCUGUCAGUAGAUCAGGGAAGCGAAGCUUAGGGGGGUUACAUAGUCUGCCUGAAUUCCUGAACCUCAUAAUUGGCAGAGAGGAGAUGCACACCCAGAUAUGAGCCCAGAGCUCUUUCUGCCUCGCCAUACCAUGUUGAACACGUCACAGGGUUGAGUGAAGGAAGCAAAGGAAAAGGAAACAGCAAUGAUCUGUAAGUUUUUCAACUUGAUGGGCCAGAAAACUGGUGGUUCCUUGAGUUAACAAGGGAUUUACAACUUCAGUGUGUAUGAUAACCUUUGGGUUAUGUUCGAUUCAAGGAGCUCGUGGGACAUUGAGUAGGACAGUUUAUUACAUCACUGCAAAAGUAGGGCUUGGUAUGCAGGCCAUGACAGUUGGGACUUUGGAAAAAUAGAGGCCAGAGAACGUGGACACCGUAGGGGAUGUGCCAGCCACUCUUCAGAAAUCUAGUUCGUGUUUUCUGCAUGUGACCAGAGCAUUGCAACUGAGUAUCUGACUGUAUAUUUUGAUAAUUUGAAGGGGAAAAAAUGUGGUUUUAUACAUUUUAUUUUCUUAUGGCCAGUUUUAAAUUUGCUGUCAUUGAUCAUACUGGAACUGAUAUAAUCUUAGAUUUUCUCAUUAGUCUUUUCAAGUAUUUUGCUCCAUAUCAUACCACCAUACUGUUUUUUGUGUGUGUCUUUUACUGUAUUUUAUACUGUAUUCUGUUUUGGUCUUUCUAGUGUCAGUGAAUUUCCUCAAAGUUUUUUGAAAUCAAGUUUCAUUUGCCUGCAGGACCACAGGGGAAGCAAUGCAGAAGUCAGAGUGCCGCGGAGACGUGCAGCUGAGAAGCAGAGCGCCAGGUAAUUACAACCAAAGGACACCAGCAAGUCCACAAAUAAAACACAGGACCGCAGUUCAACGAAGCAAAUCCUCAUCAGCAGCCAGUUCACCGGAGUCUGCAAGAAAAGCCCACCCUCGACCAAGUGAUAAACUGAACCCUAAGACAAUUAACCCGUUUGGCGAACAAACACGGGCCCCUUCUGCAUUUGCAGCUGUUUACUCUAAAGGAGGUAUCCCUUGCAGGUUGGUCCAUGGGUCAGUCAAGCACAGGUUGCAGUGGGAAUGUCCUCCCGCAAAUCUUCCGUUUGAUCCUCUUCUCAUCACUUUAGCUGAGGGUCUGAGAGAGACCAAACAUCCGUACACCUUUGUUUCAAAAGAGGGCUUUAGAGAGUUACUUUUGGUCCAAGAUGCUCCCGAAAAAGCUGUGCCUCUGCUUCCUCGACUAGUCCCCGUGCUGAAGGCAGCCCUGGCUCACUCAGACGACGAGGUCUUUGAGAGGGGAGUAAAUGCCCUGGUGCAGCUGAGCGUCGUCGUCGGCCCUUCUCUGAAUGGCCACCUGAAGCACCUGCUCACGAGUCUUUCAAAGAGACUAAGAGACAAGAAAUUCAAAGAGCCCAUCACCAGUGCGCUACAGGAGCUGGAGCAGCACGGCGGAAGUGAAUGCCUUAUCAUCAUCAAAGCUAAAAUUCCGACAUACUGCUCCAUAUGUUGUUGAAGAAGAGGGCCCCCAAAAAUCCUCCUGCUGCCCGGUGGCAGGUGUUACACUCGCAGACCGCAGACACCUGGGCGGCCUCUGCCCCUGCCCCUCAGUCUGUUGUUUUAAGCUGACUCUGGAUCAUUUUACAAGAGAAAGGAGUAGAAGAGAAAUAAAAACCAAGAAUAAGACCUUCCGUCUUAAGGGCAAGAACGGAGCCCAUGGGAGCCCGAGUAGUCCCAGC